CCUGGAAUCGGCUUGAACUUCUCCUCUCCCAUCACCCCGCCUUUUUUUUCCACCCAGCUCCACCUCCACAACCCUCUCUCUCUCUUUCUCUCCUCGCCGGCUGGUCACCGGAAACCCUCAUUUUCCGACCGCCCCUACCCCCUUCCCCCACUCGUUCCUCUUCCUAUUGCACCCACACUCCUCAUUUCAUUUCAAUUUCAACGCUUAGGUAGCGUCCGGGAAAGAUAAACAAAUAUAUAUAUAAACAUGUCAAGCCUCGGUGGUUCUUAUCGAAGGAGCGCUUCCUUGUCCAAUAGCCCCACGCGCUCCAAGAAGAAACCUUCUGAUUAUUCACCGCUAGACUUAACUACUCGUAAAACGUUUUCCUCAUUACGCACCACGGGAGAGAGAACUGUGAAAACAUUGCGGCUUUCAAAGGCAUUGACAGUUCCUGAAACAACAUCUGUCUAUGAAGCUUGCCGUAGGAUGGCUGCUCGCAAAGUAGAUGCUCUAUUACUAACUGAUUCUAAUGCUUUGCUCUGUGGAAUCCUCACAGACAAGGACAUAGCAACAAGAGUUAUUGCCCGAGAGCUUAAUCUCGAAGAAACACCUGCUUCCAAGGUUAUGACAAGGAAUCCUGUAUUUGUCCUUUCUGACACUCUUGCUGUGGAAGCCCUCCAAAAGAUGGUGCAAGGGAGGUUCAGACAUUUACCUGUGGUGGAGAAUGGAGAAGUUGUAGCCAUACUUGACAUAGCUAAGUGUUUGUAUGAUGCCAUUGCCCGUAUGGAAAGAGCAGCUGAGAAAGGAAAGGCAAUUGCCGCAGCUGUUGAAGGUAUCGAAAAACACUGGGGAACAUCUGCUCCUGGCUCCAAUUCGUCAUUCAUUGAGACUCUUCGCGAGCAGAUAUUUAAGCCAUCUUUGUCUACAAUUAUUCCUGAGAAUUCAAAGGUUGUAACAGUUUCCCCAACAGACUCAGUUUUGACGACGACAAAGAAGAUGCUAGAACUUCGUGUAAGUUGUGCUGUUGUGGCAGUUGACGACAAACCUUGUGGUAUUCUUACUUCAAAAGAUAUAUUGAUGCGGGUAAUAGCACAAAGUCUUCCUCCAUCGUCAACUCUUGUUCAGAAGGUCAUGACUCCAAAUCCAGAAUGUGCAAUAAUUGACACACCAAUUGUCGACGCACUUCACACUAUGCAUGAUGGAAAAUUUUUGCAUCUUCCAGUGGUUGAUAGAGAUGGCAUUGUUGUUGCUACGGUUGAUGUGAUUCAUAUCACUCAUGCGGCAGUGGCGACAGCUAGUCAGGUGGGAAAUACUGCCAAUUUUAACAAUGAAGCUGCCAACUCCAUGAUGCAAAAAUUUUGGGAUUCGGCCAUGGCCUUAACUGCAAAUGAUGAGGAUGACGAUUCACAAAGGUUACAUAUCGACAGUUCCUUGAAAAUGAUUUCUGAGGGAGGAGAAACAGGGAGAUCCAUGUCUUAUCUUGGGUCAAGCAUGCAGAACGCAUUUUCCUUCAAAUUACAAGACAGGAAGGGUAGAUUGCAUAGGUUCACAUGCGAUACUCGGAGCUUGGCAGAGGUUAUAACUUCCAUCGUUCAGAGAGUCGGUGAUGAUAUUGACCCCAAGAACCUGCCCCAGAUUUUGUAUGAAGAUGAAGAACAUGAUAAAGUUGUACUGGCUUCAGACAAUGAUCUUACUGCAGCUGUGGACCACGCGAAGACGGCUGGUUUAAAGGGAUUGAGAUUGCAUUUAGACUACUCUGGAACACGAGAUUAUGGAACUGAUUCAAGUCCAGAAAGUUUGAGCUAUGCUAAUCCAGAAGCAUGGGGCACGACACACAAUGCCAUUGCUGCUGGAGCUGCAAUUAUGGCUGCCUUAGGCCUAUUGGCGUUUGUGAGGCGAAGCCAUUGAUAGGAAGAAGCGAGUUUUUGAUGGGGGUAGAGGACAAAACUGAAGUCAGUUGGAACUUUGGAGGGCAUAUUUUUAGCACUUGCCAAUCAGUAUCGGAUCGAACCGGAGGGAGGAUCCCAAUGUCGUGGGCCUGGAUUAGGCAUGAGCCGAGUUGGGCUUGGUGAAGAGCUGAACCUGAAGGUGCAUGGACGAACGCAUAUCCGAAAAGAAGGUUAGUUUCGCUCCAAAGCUCAAUGGCUAUAAUGACAAAGGUACCUUGGAGGUUUUAAAGAAGGUGUUGUUGUUCGCAAAGACACUAAUGUCAAACAUGAAUAAUGGCGAUGAGUUCUCCAUGUCGCGAUAUUGCACAUUGUUUCAGAGCUUGGAGCUUGAUGAUGACAACAAUGAAGGCAUCUCAAAGGGUUUGAAGGAGUUGGCGUUGUUUGUGAAGACGUUGACUUAUUCAGACGCAAACAAUGGUGGGUUCUUCAUGCCAUAGAAGGACCUUAAGCCUUUAGCCCUAAACUCCUAACACUUCUUCUCUGGUGACGUUGGCUCCAACAACAACAAACCUUAACUCUAACGAUGAUCACAACAUUGAUGUCGAUGAUCGCACAACACUCCUCCUCGUCAUUAGUCCUGACUCGGAGCAUUGUGGGAAGCUAUCGGCAAAGGUCAAUGCGAAUCUACACCACCAUGAUCGAAGAAGCGAUUUCGUAGCACUACACAUGAUCACAAGUACGUGUGACAAAAGUUUUUUAGAUCUUGGCUCAAAUUCGUUAAGCGACCUCAACUCAUAACACUCUAUGCAAGGACGGAGCCAAGGGGGGACCUACGGGUGCCACGGCCCCCCCAACA